rnacentral:rRNA from 1 species
UACGAAGGGGGCUAGCGUUGCUCGGAAUCACUGGGCGUAAAGCGCACGUAGGCGGCUUGUUAAGUCAGGGGUGAAAUCCUGGAGCUCAACUCCAGAACUGCCUUUGAUACUGGCGAGCUUGAGUCCGGGAGAGGUGAGUGGAACUGCGAGUGUAGAGGUGAAAUUCGUAGAUAUUCGCAAGAACACCAGUGGCGAAGGCGGCGAUCUGGGAAGAUACUGACGCUGAGGUGCGAAAGCGUGGGGAGCAAACAGG